AUUGAACGCUGGCGGAAUGCUUUACACAAGCAAGUCGAGCGGCAGCGCGGGGGCAACCCUGGCGGCGAGCGGCGAACGGGUGAGUAAUAUAUCGGAACGUACCCGUCGUGGGGGAUAACACAGCGAAAGCUGUGCUAAUACCGCAUACGACCUGAGGGUGAAAGCGGGGGAUCGCAAGACCUCGCGCGAUGGGAGCGGCCGAUAUCGGAUUAGCUUGUUGGUGAGGUAAAGGCUCACCAAGGCGACGAUCCGUAGCUGGUCUGAGAGGACGACCAGCCACACUGGAACUGAGACACGGUCCAGACUCCUACGGGAGGCAGCAGUGGGGGAAUUUUGGACAAUGGGGGGCGAACCCUGAUCCAGCCAUUCCGCGUGAGUGAAGAAGGCCUCGGUGUAAGCUCUUCUAGCAGGAACGAAACGGUAGGG
rnacentral:rRNA from 1 species